rnacentral:tRNA from 1 species
AAAGAAUUAGUUAAAUUAUAAUAUAAGGUUGUCAGCCUUACGUUACUAAAUCAAUCUUAGUAUUCUUUG